UCGAGAAUUUUUGACAAUGGGGGAAACCCUGAUCGAGCGACGCCGCGUGGAGGAUGAAGGUCUUCGGAUUGUAAACUCCUGUCAUUGGGGAACAAUGCCCCGGUAUUAACUGUAUCGGGGUUGAUAGUACCCGAAGAGGAAGAGACGGCUAACUCUGUGCCAGCAGCCGCGGUAAUACAGAGGUCUCAAGCGUUGUUCGGAUUCAUUGGGCGUAAAGGGUGCGUAGGCGGCGUGGUAAGUCGGGUGUGAAAUCUCGGAGCUUAACUCCGAAACUGCAUUCGAUACUGCCGUGCUUGAGGACUGGAGAGGAGACUGGAAUUUACGGUGUAGCGGUGAAAUGCGUAGAUAUCGUAAGGAAGACCAGUGGCGAAGGCGGGUCUCUGGACAGUUCCUGACGCUGAGGCACGAAGGUCAGGGGAGCAAACGG
rnacentral:rRNA from 1 species